ACCUGGAGACCGGAGAUAGCGUCAUGGAGGGAGGAGGGGCUAAGAUAGGCGGGGUAGGGUAGGGGUCUUAGGGCGGAACCAUGGUCUGGGAGGGGGUGAGGCGAGACAGAGUGGAGGUGGGGACGACGGGGCGGGGUCGAGUCCGCAGGGCCCCUCCCUCCCCCUCCGCCACCCUGCUAAUCUUCUUUCCCUGACCGCCCACCUGCGGAAGCUGCCUGUUUCUGACCCCACUGGUCUUCUGCGCUCACACGUUUGAGAUGAAUCUAAAACCACUCACCCCCUACUGGGAAACUCAUUCCAAAGGGACUGCUGCAUUUUAAGAAGAGAUCAGUGUUGACAACAAUGAAAAGCCCAUGAUCCUGACAUGAGCGUCCAUCAAAUCAGUAUCCAAGUAUAAGGCCAAGACUUCCAUCAUGCAAAGAAUGCAAUCUGAAACUACCAGAGCCUCCUUCCAGUGAGUACUACAGAGUACUAUUUCCUGAAUUGCAGUUGUUCAUGUCUGUCCCCGUCAGCUUUGGAGGUGAACAGAAGACCGAGUUCAUCAGUAAGAUCUCAGGCAACAUGUGUAUGUGAAGGUUGAUGAAUCAUAUGCCAAUGAGUGCAAAAACCUAAGUCAUAGCACACAUACACUGAAAAUAUAAUUAAACCAGGGUCCUCACUGUUGCUCCAUGAAUCCCCAGUUGGCUGGUGACAGUUCUGAGCUAUCAACAUGACAGAAAUUCCUCUAAGGCUCAAGUAGAAGAAAUGUGAUAACUAUUUCUGAUUGUCAACUUUAUUAUUUCCACAAUUAACUAAAACCAAGUAGCUGGGUAGACCUGUGAGGGAGUUUUCUUAAUUAAAUCAUUUGAAGUAGGAAGACUCACCUGCAAUCCAGAUAUUCUGAGGUGGGAAGAUCCACUUUUAAUCUAGGCCACACUUUUUUGUAACCACCUAUAAAAAGAACAUAGGCCAGCUUAGCCUCCAGUCUUGCUGGCAAGUUCACUUUUUCACCUGAAUUAAAGCCUACUGCUUUGGGAUUCUUUCAUAUAGUGAAGACUAGCUGAGACUGGUUUUCCAGCCUUAUGAACUGAACACAAACCCUUGUGUAUGAUUUCUUGGACUUUCUAUUGAUAAAAAGCCAUUGUUGGAUUGGCUUAGCCACAGCUUGUAAGCCACUUUAAUAAACACAGUAAAAUAUAUUCAUUCUAUCAGUUCUGUUCCUCUAGAGAACCAUAACUGAUACAUGAAGCAUGGUUAUAACAUCUCUGGCUUUGCCUUUGACUCAGAGGCAGAGCUGAAGGUGAAUGAGAAGCAUGAAGAAGAUAGAGGUUUAGGGUACCAAGAGGCCUGGCCAGCCCCACGGUUUCUCAUCUGCCUCCAACUUGCAAAUGACUACUUAAAAUGGAGUGGGUCUUCAGAGGAUGUAGCCCUGGAGGAGAUCAUCUAUGACAAUAAAAUCUUUAGGUAAUAUGCGGAGGAUGUCCCAGCAGCUAGUGAACCCUCUGAGCAUAACAACUCAUCAGAGCAUUUAUUGCAGUUCCUUUUCAGAACUGCAAAAUCUCUGUUGUUUCUACAUCUCAAGGCAGCAAUGAAUUCCCAGAAUAAUUGGGAAGAAACAUCCCUAGGCAUCUUUUGCCUUGCCCAUCAGGAGGCAGCAGCACAUAUCCUACCUGGUCCAAGAAA